rnacentral:sRNA from 1 species
CAGACCUGGAAGCGCAUUGGCUGGAG